rnacentral:rRNA from 1 species
AGAGUUUGAUCCUGGCUCAGGAUGAACGCUAGCGACAGGCUUAACACAUGCAAGUCGAGGGGCAGCAUGAUUUGUAGCAAUACAGAUUGAUGGCGACCGGCGCACGGGUGAGUAACGCGUAUGCAACUUACCUAUCAGAGGGGGAUAGCCCGGCGAAAGUCGGAUUAAUACCCCAUAAAACAGGGGUCCCGCAUGGGAUAUUUGUUAAAGAUUCAUCGCUGAUAGAUAGGCAUGCGUUCCAUUAGGCAGUUGGCGGGGUAACGGCCCACCAAACCGACGAUGGAUAGGGGUUCUGAGAGGAAGGUCCCCCACAUUGGUACUGAGACACGGACCAAACUCCUACGGGAGGCAGCAGUGAGGAAUAUUGGUCAAUGGCCGAGAGGCUGAACCAGCCAAGUCGCGUGAAGGAAGAAGGAUCUAUGGUUUGUAAACUUCUUUUAUAGGGGAAUAAAGUGGAGGACGUGUCCUUUUUUGUAUGUACCCUAUGAAUAAGCAUCGGCUAACUCCGUGCCAGCAGCCGCGGUAAUACGGAGGAUGCGAGCGUUAUCCGGAUUUAUUGGGUUUAAAGGGUGCGUAGGUGGUGAUUUAAGUCAGCGGUGAAAGUUUGUGGCUCAACCAUAAAAUUGCCGUUGAAACUGGGUUACUUGAGUGUGUUUGAGGUAGGCGGAAUGCGUGGUGUAGCGGUGAAAUGCAUAGAUAUCACGCAGAACUCCGAUUGCGAAGGCAGCUUACUAAACCAUAACUGACACUGAAGCACGAAAGCGUGGGGAUCAAACAGGAUUAGAUACCCUGGUAGUCCACGCAGUAAACGAUGAUUACUAGGAGUUUGCGAUACAAUGUAAGCUCUACAGCGAAAGCGUUAAGUAAUCCACCUGGGGAGUACGCCGGCAACGGUGAAACUCAAAGGAAUUGACGGGGGCCCGCACAAGCGGAGGAACAUGUGGUUUAAUUCGAUGAUACGCGAGGA